AUCUUUAUACCUUUAUCCUCUUUGAAAACAACCCAUAAUAUCCUGCUUUUAAAGUCUAAAAACAUGAAAAAAUGAUUGUUUCUUCUUUAUCUUAUAAAAUUUGACACUGACUUUUUUGGCUCUGGCUUUUAGCUCUGAUGUGAUUUUGAUGAAUAGUCUUAGUUGAUUUUUUUCAAAGAAUUUACAGUAAAUUCAUAAAUAUAAAGUAGAGUAGACUUUUAACUAUUGAUAAAAUGAUCAUAUUGAAUAAAGGAUUGAUUGUAUUGGAUAAAAGAGGGUGGUGAGAAUGAUUGAUUGUUUAAUAAAUGGCUUUUGUUGAUAUUUUUAAAUAAACAUACCUUCAACUAAAACACAAG
rnacentral:sRNA from 1 species